CCUACGGGUGGCAGCAGUGGGGAAUAUUGGACAAUGGGCGAAAGCCUGAUCCAGCCAUGCCGCGUGUGUGAAGAAGGCCUUCGGGUUGUAAAGCACUUUCAGUGGGGAAGAAAGCCUUGGGGCUAAUACCCUCGAGGAAGGACAUCACCCACGGAAGAAGCACCGGCUAACUCCGUGCCAGCAGCCGCGGUAAUACGGAGGGUGCGAGCGUUAAUCGGAAUUACUGGGCGUAAAGCGCGCGUAGGCGGUCUGAUAAGCCGGUUGUGAAAGCCCCGGGCUCAACCUGGGAACGGCAUCCGGAACUGUCAGGCUAGAGUGCAGGAGAGGAAGGUAGAAUUCCCGGUGUAGCGGUGAAAUGCGUAGAGAUCGGGAGGAAUACCAGUGGCGAAGGCGGCCUUCUGGACUGACACUGACGCUGAGGUGCGAAAGCGUGGGUAGCAAACAGGAUUAGAUACCCGUGUAGUC
rnacentral:rRNA from 1 species